rnacentral:rRNA from 1 species
GACGAACGCUGGCGGCGUGCUUAACACAUGCAAGUCGAACGGUGAAGCGCCUUCCUUUUUGGUGGGUGUGGAUGAGUGGCGAACGGGUGAGUAACACGUGAGUAACCUGCCCCCUUCUUCUGGAUAACCGAAUGAAAGUGUGGCUAAUACGGGAUAUUCUGGGUCUGUCGCAUGAUGGGUCUGGGAAAGAUAUUGUUUCGGUGGGGGAUGGGCUCGCGGCCUAUCAGCUUGUUGGUGGGGUGAUGGCCUACCAAGGCGGUGACGGGUAGCCGGCCUGAGAGGGUGGACGGUCACACUGGGACUGAGACACGGCCCAGACUCCUUCGGGAGGCAGCAGUGGGGAAUAUUGCACACUGGGCGCAAGCCUGAUGCAGCGACGCCGCGUGAGGGAUGGAGGCCUUCGGGUUGUGAACCUCCUUCGCCAGUGAAGCAGGCCUGCCUCGUUUGUGGGUGGGUUGACGGUAGCUGGAUAAGAAGCGCCGGCUAACUACGUG